UUUUUCGUGACCGGCGGAAACAGUGGAAAGAACCACGGGGGAGCGAAAAACGGGAAAAGAAUGCCGACCGCCUGGGCAGACC
rnacentral:ncRNA from 1 species